AUUGAACGCUGGCGGCAGGCCUAACACAUGCAAGUCGAGCGGAUGAAGGGAGCUUGCUCCUGGAUUCAGCGGCGGACGGGUGAGUAAUGCCUAGGAAUCUGCCUGGUAGUGGGGGAUAACGUCCGGAAACGGGCGCUAAUACCGCCUACGUCCUGCGGGAGCAAGUGGGGGAUCUUCGGACCUCACGCUAUCAGAUGAGCCUAGGUCGGAUUAGCUAGUUGGUGGGGUAAAGGCCUACCAAGGCGACGAUCCGUAACUGGUCUGAGAGGAUGAUCAGUCACACUGGAACUGAGACACGGUCCAGACUCCUACGGGAGGCAGCAGUGGGGAAUAUUGGACAAUGGGCGAAAGCCUGAUCCAGCCAUGCCGCGUGUGUGAAGAAGGUCUUCGGAUUGUAAAGCACUUUAAGUUGGGAGGAAGGGCAGUAAGUUAAGACCUUGCUGUUUUGACGUUACCAACAGAAUAAGCACCGGCUAACUUCGUG
rnacentral:rRNA from 1 species